rnacentral:rRNA from 1 species
UACGAAGGGGGCUAGCGUUGUUCGGAAUUACUGGGCGUAAAGCGCACGUAGGCGGCUAUUUAAGUCAGAGGUGAAAUCCCGGGGCUCAACCCCGGAACUGCCUUUGAUACUGGAUAUCUCGAGUCCGAGAGAGGUGAGUGGAAUUCCGAGUGUAGAGGUGAAAUUCGUAGAUAUUCGGAGGAACACCAGUGGCGAAGGCGACUCACUGGCUCGAUACUGACGCUGAGGUGCGAAAGCGUGGGGAGCAAACAGG